rnacentral:rRNA from 1 species
ACUCCUACGGGACGCAGCAGUGAGGAAUAUUGGUCAAUGGACGCAAGUCUGAACCAGCCAUGCCGCGUGCAGGAAGACGGCUCUAUGAGUUGUAAACUGCUUUUGUACGAGGGAAAACGCAGAUACGCGUAUCUGUCUGAAAGUAUCGUACGAAUAAGGAUCGGCUAACUCCGUGCCAGCAGCGGCGGUACUACGGAGGAUUCAAGCGUUAUCCGGAUUUAUUGGGUUUAAAGGGUGCGUAGGCGGUCGGAUAAGUUAGGGGUGAAAUGCCGGGGCUCAACUUCGGCAUUGCCUCUGAUACUGUU